rnacentral:rRNA from 1 species
AGCAGCCGCGGUAAUUCCAGCUCCAAUAGCGUAUAUUAAAGUUGUUGCAGUUAAAAAGCUCGUAGUUGAAUUUCGGGAUCAUCAGGUUGGUCGUGCCUCUGGUAUGUACUGAUUUCGAUGGUCCCUCCUUCUUGAAGAGCCGUAAUGCCAUUAAUUUGGUGUUGCGGGGAAUCAGGACUGUUACUUUGAAAAAAUUAGAGUGUUUAAAGCAGGCAAUCGCUUGAAUACAUUAGCAUGGAAUAAUGAAAUAGGACGUUCGAUCCUAUUUUGUUGGUUUCUAGGAUUGACGUAAUGAUUAAUAGGGAUAGUUGGGGGCAUUAGUAUUCAAUUGUCAUAGGUGAAAUUCUUGGAUUUAUUGAAGACUAACUACUGCGAAAGCAUUUGCCAAGGAUGUUUUCAUUAAUCAAGAACGAAAGUUAGGGGAUCGAAGACGAUCAGAUACCGUCGUAG